rnacentral:rRNA from 1 species
UACGGGGGGGGCAAGCGUUGUUCGGAAUUACUGGGCGGAAAGGGCUCGUAGGCGGCCAACUAAGUCAGACGUGAAAUCCCUCGGCUUAACCGGGGAACUGCGUCUGAUACUGGAUGGCUUGAGUGUGGGAGAGGGAUGCGGAAUUCCAGGUGUAGCGGUGAAAUGCGUAGAUAUCUGGAGGAACACCGGUGGCGAAGGCGGCAUCCUGGACCAUUACUGACGCUGAGGAGCGAAAGCCAGGGGAGCAAACGGG